AAGAAGCUUGCUUCUUUGCUGACGAGUGGCGGACGGGUGAGUAAUGUCUGGGAAACUGCCUGAUGGAGGGGGAUAACUACUGGAAACGGUAGCUAAUACCGCAUAACGUCGCAAGACCAAAGAGGGGGACCUUCGGGCCUCUUGCCAUCGGAUGUGCCCAGAUGGGAUUAGCUAGUAGGUGGGGUAACGGCUCACCUAGGCGACGAUCCCUAGCUGGUCUGAGAGGAUGACCAGCCACACUGGAACUGAGACACGGUCCAGACUCCUACGGGAGGCAGCAGUGGGGAAUAUUGCACAAUGGGCGCAAGCCUGAUGCAGCCAUGCCGCGUGUAUGAAGAAGGCCUUCGGGUUGUAAAGUACUUUCAGCGGGGAGGAAGGGAGUAAAGUUAAUACCUUUGCUCAUUGACGUUACCCGCAGAAGAAGCACCGGCUAACUCCGUGCCAGCAGCCGCGGUAAUACGGAGGGUGCAAGCGUUAAUCGGAAUUACUGGGCGUAAAGCGCACGCAGGCGGUUUGUUAAGUCAGAUGUGAAAUCCCCGGGCUCAACCUGGGAACUGCAUCUGAUACUGGCAAGCUUGAGUCUCGUAGAGGGGGGUAGAAUUCCAGGUGUAGCGGUGAAAUGCGUAGAGAUCUGGAGGAAUACCGGUGGCGAAGGCGGCCCCCUGGACGAAGACUGACGCUCAGGUGCGAAAGCGUGGGGAGCAAACAGGAUUAGAUACCCUGGUAGUCCACGCCGUAAACGAUGUCGACUUGGAGGUUGUGCCCUUGAGGCGUGGCUUCCGGAGCUAACGCGUUAAGUCGACCGCCUGGGGAGUACGGCCGCAAGGUUAAAACUCAAAUGAAUUGACGGGGGCCCGCACAAGCGGUGGAGCAUGUGGUUUAAUUCGAUGCAACGCGAAGAACCUUACCUGGUCUUGACAUCCACGGAAGUUUUCAGAGAUGAGAAUGUGCCUUCGGGAACCGUGAGACAGGUGCUGCAUGGCUGUCGUCAGCUCGUGUUGUGAAAUGUUGGGUUAAGUCCCGCAACGAGCGCAACCCUUAUCCUUUGUUGCCAGCGGUCCGGCCGGGAACUCAAAGGAGACUGCCAGUGAUAAACUGGAGGAAGGUGGGGAUGACG
rnacentral:rRNA from 1 species